ACUUCUGCGCGGGGAUCAUGUCGUCGAUGGACUGGCCCUUUUCCAGCUUCUUCUCCAUCUCCACCAUAAGCUUCACGCCAUCCACCACCAGCUGCACCUGUUCGACUUCGGAUGAGCCCAGCCGAUCGGCGUUGGAGAUGUCGAACACGGCGCCCACCGCAGCCGUGUCCACGCCACCUGCGCGGGAGCAAACGCCACAGAGGCAUUGGACAGGGAGCAGAGGUGCAGCCAUGGACUGUCUCUUCUCAUCGGGAUCGCCGUGCUGGAGCAAUGGAGCAAGUCUUCCUCUGAAGAGCCAUGCCUAGUCUCCAGCGGGUGCUUCCAGACACGAUUUCCACCAAGUCAAGCCAACCUGCCCUUUGAGCAAGCUAGGACUCUCCUCCCCAUGGGACCCAAGCAGAGCCCUCUCCUCUUGCCCUUUUUCCUUUGGCCCCGGGCUAGAGCCAGCCCUUGGGCCCCAACUCUGUUCUCAGCUCUUCCGAGGCACCCAGUAGUGCCUGCGAUGUCCAAGAGUUAGAACCUACUGUCCCCGACCUCUGCAGCCAACUCCAGCAGGUCCGCGGGGACCUCAAACUGCACUUCCUCACCCCUGGAACGGGGUCCUGUGGCUUCUCACAGCCCAACACUUCACCCCCCACCCCAGUGGCCACGUGGGGUGCGUGCAGUCAAGCCUCCCACAUCCGCCUUCAUGAAUGGCCCUAACCCUGUGGUGGACCGGACUAGGGACCCUAUUUUAACCCAUAGAAAGUCUCCUGCGAUUGAAGGGUCAGAGGGCCGGAGGAUCUGGAGAAAGGAGGGACUCACCAGAUGCCACGGGCAUCGGGCCAGUCUCGGGCCAUGCCUGAGGCCAGCAGCAGAGGUGACACGGGCUUGUCAAACAGGAAGUGGUCAUCAAUGAGCUGCUGCUGUUCCUGCUCCGUCAUGCUCUUCAGAGGGUAGUACUUGCCCUUGAACUCGCCCGUCAGGCUGUUGAGAGCUGAGGGACCACAAGGAGAGCAGUCGGCAGCCUGCCUCACUUCCGCUGGGGGGCCAAGACUGGAAGACUGCACGCGCUAUUGUUGCCCCUAACACUCCUCACCCGGACAUCAAAGAGGUCUCCAAACCACUUACAUUCCACAUGUAACCUGUUCUCAGCGUUCACUGACACCUCCUUCUGUGUGCCCAUGUACAACAUAAAGCAGACCCUCCCACCAA
rnacentral:lncRNA from 1 species